rnacentral:rRNA from 1 species
CAGCAGCCGCGGUAAAACGAAGGGUGCAAGCGUUACUCGGAAUUACUGGGCGUAAAGCGUGCGUAGGUGGUGGUUUAAGUCCGUUGUGAAAGCCCUGGGCUCAAUCUGGGAAUUGCAGUGGAUACUGGGUCACUAGAGUGUGGUAGAGGAUAGUGGAAUUUCCGGUGUAGCAGUGAAAUGCGUAGAGAUCGGAAGGAACAUCUGUGGCGAAGGCGACUAUCUGGGCCAACACUGACACUGAGGCACGAAAGCGUGGGGAGCAAACAGGAUUAGAUACCCGAGUAGUCCCUGUCUCUUAUAA